rnacentral:misc_RNA from 1 species
UUUCCGUAGGUGAACCUGCGGAAGGGUCAUUAUUGAAUAAACCUGAUGGGUUGUUGCUGGCUCUUCACCGGGGCAUGUGCACGCCUAUCUUCUUUAUUUUUCCACCUGUGCACCACUUGUAGGCUUGAAUAGCACUUUAAUUGGCCUUCGGGUCAGCUUUGAGGAAUGCGGCCUUGGUUGCUAUCCUCUCCGAUGUUCAAGUCUAUGUUUUACUACACACCCAUUGUUAAACCCAGAAUGUAAUUUACAGGCCGCAAGUGUGCCUAAAACACUAUACAACUUUCAGCAACGGAUCUCUUGGCUCUC